CUUGGCGACAAGGGCAAGGAAAAACUGCCUGUUAAAAGGCAGAAACCUAGGACAGAUCCUCCGGCUCUAGGUGGGUGGUCGUCUGUCUCGACCAGUUGGGGUCAGAGAGAGAGAGAGAGAGAGAGAGAGACAGACAGACAGGUGCACAGCAACAACAGUAUUGGUAAUGGCAAUCUAGCAGGACCAUGGCAGGAGGCUCCACCAGGAUCGAUAAGAACCUGCGAGACGAGAAAGCACAAGAACUCCGGGGAAGAAGUGAA